GCCCCCUCACGUCCCGCCCCUUUCUUUCUGCUGCGUGGCACCACGGGAAUUGUAGUUCUGUGCUACGGAAUCAACCUGAGCUCCGCCCUGACCCUGAGCCCUGCGGGAUGGAGGAACUACUAAUCCUAGCAUGCAUAGCGCGGCGACGGACCGACUUUUUAUUUUUUUCUUAGUACCGGGAAAACAGGAGCGUCUGAUUGGGGUUUGCAGUGUUUUCUCUCUGUUUCUCUCGGGAAGUCGGGCUGUGUGUAUAGCUCCUUAGAUUUGGUAGAAUUGGUAUUCAGAGAAGUCACUCGACUCCUGAGGCGAAGCAUAAAAGGAUGGGAGUGGUGUGGGAAGUAAGUGAGCGUGUGGGGAAAAAAAGUUUUGAGACUGUUUCGCUUUCGUGGAGACAGUUUUUAGUGUGACCGCGCUUUUGUGGGAAACCCAAACCAAGGAGUACGCAGGAGAAUCGGCGCUUUUCGGGUCCUGGAGGUCCCGCCGCUAACACCCCGGGUAGACCAACUAUUGAGGCAGCAAAUUAAUAGGGCACCUACUGGGAGGAAAACACCCAUCCAGACCUCUCAACUGUGACAGGCCCUCCUUCCAAAGCCUCAGUGGGGGACCGUUUCAAAAUCCUUGCAAGUUCCUGCAAGGGACAUAUUUUAUUCUUGGGCGCACAGAGUUGGCCGCUUCCUGAGGUGGAGUACGGACCAGCUGACAACAGGACUCCUUUUCGCCUCCACGGCCAACCUUUUCCACUUCUCCCAAACGGUUGUGCGGAAGGGCGGAGUCAUAUCAUUUAAAAGGAGACUGGAACCCCACCAAUACAAAGGCUGCUUGACUGUUCCCAGAAACUUCCCUACAUGAGGUCCACCGGGCGCAGGGGGUGGAAGGCGCAUUUCCUGGGUCCUGGCAGGCGCGCGCGGCCCUUCUCGCCCUGUCGCCCAGGAUGGAGUGCAGUGCAGUGGCGCAAUUCUACAACCUCCGAUCACUACAACCUCCCCCGUCUGGGGUUCAAGAGAUUCUCCUGCCUCAGCCUUCCGAGUAGCUGGGAUUACAGGCGUGCGCCAACUUGCCCAGACGAUCCUUUUAAACGCAAAAUGCCAUCGACGCAGAAAUUCAAAGGGACAUGGAUGAACCUGGAAAACAUCAUCCUCAGCAAACUGACACAAGAACAGAAAAUGAAACACCGCAUAUUCUCACUCAUAGGUGGGUGAUGAAAAAUGAGAACACAUGGACACAGAAAGGGGAGUACUAAACACUGGAGUCUAUUGGGGGGAA